rnacentral:rRNA from 1 species
GAGUUUGAUCCUGGCUCAGAACGAACGCUGGCGGCGUGCUUAACACAUGCAAGUCAGGGAGAAAGUCUCUUCGGGGAUGAUUAAACCGGCGCACGGGUGAGUAACACGUGAGUGACCUGCCUUUUAGACUGGAACAACUUACCGAAAGGUGAGCUAAUGCCGGAUGAGUUAUAUAAGUGCAUGUUUAUAUAGGAAAAGUUGGGGAGACCUGACGCUGAAAGAUGGACUCGCGUCCCAUUAGCUAGUUGGUAGGGUAAUGGCCUACCAAGGCGACGAUGGGUAGCCGGCCUGAGAGGGUGGCCGGCCACACUGGGACUGAGACACGGCCCAGACUCCUACGGGAGGCAGCAGUGGGGAAUUUUGCGCAAUGCUCGUAAGAGUGACGCAGCGACGCCGCGUGAAUGACGAAGGCCUUCGGGUCGUAAAGUUCUUUCGACAGGGAAGAAAAUGCCUAUAAGUAACUGUGUAUGUAUUGACGGUACCUGUAUAAGCAGCCCCGGCUAACUCCGUGCCAGCAGCCGCGGUAAUACGGAGGGGGCGAGCGUUGUUCGGAGUGACUGGGCGUAAAGAGCACGUAGGCGGUGUUGUAAGUCAUUAGUCAAAGACUAGAGCUCAACUUUAGUAAGGCUAGUGAUACUAUAAUACUAGAGUAUCAGAGAGGAUUGCAGAAUUCCUGGUGUAGCGGUGAAAUGCGUAGAUAUCAGGAGGAAUACCGUUAGCAAAGGCGGCAAUCUGGCUGGAAACUGACGCUGAGGUGCGAAAGCGUGGGUA